UACGUAGGGGGGCAAGCGUUGUCCGGAAUCAUUGGGCGUAAAGCGCGUGUAGGCGGCUCGGUAAGUCCGCUCUGAAAGCCCGGGGCUCAACCCCGGGAGGCGGGUGGAUACUGCUGAGCUCGAGUCCGGAAGAGGAGUGUGGAAUUCCGUGGUGUAGCGGUGAAAUGCGCAGAUAUCAGGAGGAACACCAAUGGCGAAGGCAGCACUCUGGGACGGUACUGACGCUGAGACGCGAAAGCGUGGGGAGCAAACAGG
rnacentral:rRNA from 1 species